rnacentral:lncRNA from 1 species
CGGGGACUGAGUUCUCGGAGAAGGGACCCAAUAGGUAAAUGACUCCAGAAGGUCUUCUCCCAGCAGCCAGAAUAAGACAGGAAAUGAAGCCGCUUUAUUGACAAGAAUGGGUUUCAUUCUGGCAACCUUGAUUAACACAAGAGGAUAUUGAAAGGAUUUGAAGAAAGUUAUCCCGCUGAUUCCUUAACAAGAUGGUAAGCACUUAAAAGAUCCAAUUUCAUCUUCUU